GAAUAUUGCGCAAUGGACGGAAGUCAGACGCAGCGACGCCGCGUGGGUGAGGAAUGCCUUCGGGUUGUAAAGCCCUUUUCAGGGGAGCGAGAAAGGACGGUACCCUUGGAAUAAGCGUCGGCUAACUACGUGCCAGCAGCCGCGGUAAGACGUAGGACGCAAGCGUUAUCCGGAUUUACUGGGCGUAAAGCGCCUGUAGGCGGUCAAGUAAGUCGGAUGUGAAAGCCCCGUGCUCAACGCGGGGAAGCCAUUCGAUACUGCGUGACUAGAGAACGGCAGAGGGAAACGGAAUUUCUGGUGUAGCGGUAAAAUGCGCAGAGAUCAGAAAGAACACCGAUGGCGAAGGCAGUUUCCUAGGCCGCAUCUGACGCUGAGAGGCGAAAGCUAGGGGAGCAAACAGGAUUAGAGACCCUGGUAGUCCUAGCCGUAAACGAUGGAUGCUAGGUGUGGGCCGGAAAGGUCCGUGCCGUAGUUAACGCGAUAAGCAUCCCGCCUGGGGAGUACGGCCGCAAGGCUAAAACUCAAACGAAUUGACGGGGACCCGCACAAGCAGCGGAGCGUGUGGUUUAAUUCGAUGCUACACGCAGAACCUUACCUGGGCUUGACAUGUAGGUGGUAGUGAAGUGAAAGCGGAGCGACCCUUCGGGGAGCCUACACAGGUGCUGCAUGGCUGUCGUCAGCUCGUGCCGUGAGGUGUCGGGUUAAGUCCCGUAACGAGCGCAACCCUUGUCCUUAGUUACAAGUGUCUAAGGAGACUGCCGGUGACAAACCGGAGGAAGGUGGGGAUGACGUCAAGUCAGCAUGGCCCUUAUGUCCAGGGCGACACACACGCUACAAUGGUCGGUACAAUGGGCAGCGCAGCCGCGAGGUGAAGCGAAUCCCAACAAAGCCGAUCCCAGUUCGGAUUGCAGGCUGCAACCCGCCUGCAUGAGGCCGGAGUUGCUAGUAACCGCGCGUCAGCCAUAGUGCGGUAAAUACGUUCCCGGGUCUUGUACACACCGCCCGUCACGUCAUGGGAGUUGGUAACGCCUGAAGCCGGUAGUCUGACCUAACGGAGGACGCCGUCGAAGGCGGGACUGGCGACUGGGACGAAGUCG
rnacentral:rRNA from 1 species